rnacentral:ncRNA from 1 species
AUUCCGGUUGAUCCUGCCGGAGGCCAUUGCUAUUGGAGUCCGAUUUAGCCAUGCUAGUUGCACGGGUUCAGACCCGUAGCAGAUAGCUCAGUAACACGUGGCCAAACUACCCUCUGGAGCGCAAUAACCUCGGGAAACUGAGGCUAAUGGCGCAUACGGCUCGGCACCUGGAGUGGGCCGAGCUUGAAACGCUCCGGCGCCAGAGGAUGUGGCUGCGGCCGAUUAGGUAGACGGUGGGGUAACGGCCCACCGUGCCAGUAAUCGGUACGGGUUGUGAGAGCAAGAGCCCGGAGACGGUAUCUGAGACAAGAUACCGGGCCCUACGGGGCGCAGCAGGCGCGAAACCUUUACACUGCACGCCAGUGCGAUAAGGGGACUCCAAGUGCGAGGGCAUAUAGUCCUCGCUUUUCUGGACCGUAAGGUGGUCCAGGAAUAAGUGCUGGGCAAGACCGGUGCCAGCCGCCGCGGUAAUACCGGCAGCACGAGUGAUGGCCGCUCUUAUUGGGCCUAAAGCGUCCGUAGCUGGCCGAUCAAGUCCGUCGGGAAAUCCGCACGCCCAACGUGCGGGCGUCCGGUGGAAACUGAUCGGCUUGGGACCGGAAGACCAGAGGGGUACGUCCGGGGUAGGAGUGAAAUCCCGUAAUCCUGGACGGACCACCGGUGGCGAAAGCGCCUCUGGAAGACGGAUCCGACGGUGAGGGACGAAAGCUCGGGUCACGAACCGGAUUAGAUACCCGGGUAGUCCGAGCUGUAAACGAUGUCUGCUAGGUGUGACACAGGCUACGAGCCUGUGUUGUGCCGUAGGGAAGCCGUGAAGCAGACCGCCUGGGAAGUACGUCCGCAAGGAUGAAACUUAAAGGAAUUGGCGGGGGAGCACUACAACCGGAGGAGCCUGCGGUUUAAUUGGACUCAACGCCGGACAUCUCACCAGCAUCGACAGUAGCAAUGAA